rnacentral:rRNA from 1 species
CGGCGGACGGGUGAGGAAUACAUCGGAAUCUACUCUGUCGUGGGGGGAUAACGUAGGGAAACUUACGCUAAUACCGCAUACGACCUACGGGUGAAAGCAGGGGAUCUUCGGACCUUGCGCGAUUGAAUGAGCCGAUGUCGGAUUAGCUAGUUGGCGGGGUAAAGGCCCACCAAGGCGACGAUCCGUAGCUGGUCUGAGAGGAUGAUCAGCCACACUGGAACUGAGACACGGUCCAGACUCCUACGGGAGGCAGCAGGC